UACGUAGGGUGCGAGCGUUGUCCGGAAUUAUUGGGCGUAAAGGGCUCGUAGGCGGUUUGUCACGUCGGGAGUGAAAACUCAGGGCUCAACCCUGAGCCUGCUUCCGAUACGGGCAGACUAGAGGUAUGCAGGGGAGAACGGAAUUCCUGGUGUAGCGGUGAAAUGCGCAGAUAUCAGGAGGAACACCUGUGGCGAAGGCGGUUCUCUGGGCAUUACCUGACGCUGAGGAGCGAAAGUGUGGGGAGCGAACAGG
rnacentral:rRNA from 1 species